UGAGGAAUAUUGGACAAUGGGCGGAAGCCUGAUCCAGCCAUGCCGCGUGCAGGAAGACAGCCCUAUGGGUUGUAAACUGCUUUUAUACAGGAAGAAUAAGUCCCUUGCGAGGGAUGAUGACGGUACUGUAAGAAUAAGGACCGGCUAACUCCGUGCCAGCAGCCGCGGUAAUACGGAGGGUCCAAGCGUUAUCCGGAAUCAUUGGGUUUAAAGGGUCCGCAGGCGGGCAAUUAAGUCAGGGGUGAAAUGGUGCGGCUCAACCGUAGCACUGCCCUUGAUACUGGUUGUCUUGAGUUAUGGUGAAGUGGCCGGAAUAUGUAGUGUAGCGGUGAAAUGCAUAGAUAUUACAUAGAACACCGAUCGCGAAGGCAGGUCACUAACCAUACACUGACGCUGAUGGACGAAAGCGUGGGGAGCGAACAGGAUUAGAUACCCCCGUAGUCC
rnacentral:rRNA from 1 species